GGACUGAACUCCGCUGUCUGUGGUUGCGGCCACCGCGGCUGCUGCUGGGGCCAGUGGUCCUGCUGCUGCUGAGGAAUGAUUCUUUCAACAACCAGUGGCGACAGAACCUCAGCCCUUUAAGACGAGGUAUGGAAGCAACCUAAAGAUCCAUAAUAGAUGGAUGGAGAAAGAAGAUAAUUUACAUGGAUGCAAAGAAACAUUACUCAAUCAGAAAAAAAGAAUAAAAUUUACCAAUUGCAACAAUCUGGAUGAACCUGGAGGCGAAGCAAUGCUCAAGAAAUGUUUACAGCUGAGGAGGUACCGAGGGGAUUGCCUGAAGGACACGAAGUCCAUCCAUCUCUCCAAAUAGUUUGGAUUAUUUCUCAAGAUCAAGCAUAGCUUCCCUGGUGGCUCAGAUGGUAAAGAAUCUGCCUGAAACACAAGAGACCUUGGUUCGAUCCCUGGGUCGGGAAGAUCUCCUGGGGAAGGAAAUGGCAACCCACUCCAGUAUUCUUGCCUGGAGAAUUCCAUGGACAGAAGAG
ensembl:lncRNA